AAACAAAAUAAAAUAAAUGCAAUAAUCUAUUCCUGAAAACACUUCUUAAGAAUAUCUUUGCUUAAGAUUUUUAUCUAAUUUAAGGCAAGGCACACCUGAACAUAAUGACACAAUCAACACGAGACAGAAACUAGGUAACACGGAGCACAUGAGGAAUGAAAACAGUCCUGGUUCUUCAGAAAACACCUUCAUUUAUUUCCAAAGUGAGACUUCUUUUUGUGAAUGUCUGGAAUCUCAAGAUGAAGAUUUGUGUGGUACAGCGGCCAAAGCUUGUAAAGCGGAAUUCGAUUUCACGUGUUCUGUGGAAAGUUCCUGACCUUGAAGAAUGAUUUUUCAUCUGUUGUCUGUCUUACUCCCACAAGCCUUCUCUCUCACUUACACUGGUGACAUUUUAUAGCUUAACUUUUACAUUAACUUGGCGAACCUGUAGCUCUCAAAACCAAUUUUCAUGUCCCCUGUCUUUCCCAGCAACCUCCUGAGAGAAAGGAUGGGCUUUCAGGAAGCAAGAACCUAAAUGAAAGCACGAGGAAUGUUCUCCAGCAUGGGCGUCAUGUGGUGUGCGAUCCCGCAUACUUCCACGGAAGAUUUCUCAUUACAUCUCUGAGUACUGUGCCUGCCUAGUUUUGUUUCCUGGAAAUCUCAAUUUACCUUCUAAAGUAAACCAGGAUGGUGAUCUUUCUCAGACCUACUGCUUUUUAGACUUUGUUCAUAUGAAGUUCAGCACUUUGUAAAGACCGAGGAGGAAAUUCUUGGGAAUUUUGCUCCAAUUUCCUUGAUAUACAACUCUGGAGCGUUUGAGUGGGAGCCACAUUGUUGAUUUACUAAAAAAAAAAGGAACAUGUCAACAUAUACCGUGUGGGUUCAAUGAAACUACUUGAAGUGCUUAUUUAAGCUUUUUUUCUUGCAUACACAGUCCUCAAUCCCUGUUCACCUCCUGAAUCAGUGCAGCCAGAACAGGGUCGUAUUUUAGGCAGUGCAUAAAAUCCAUUCUGCAGGCGUCUCGUAUAUUAAACAUCACUGAUCUCAGACCUGCAGGGUUGUGAGGUUUGGCUACUUUUGCCACACUCUGCGGGGCCUCAGCCUGGCGGUGAGGUCCGGGGUGUUAUCUUUGGAAAGUGUUGACAAGACUGAAACUCAGGAGCAGAGCAAACUCAGGAGCAGAGCGAAGUGUGUCUGUUCAGAAGACACACAGUUAGUAUUACAGACAAGCUUCCUGUGCACCAAUGCGGUGAAUAGUGAGAGACAGAGAGAAAGGGGCACAAAGAGCCACCAGGGAAAAGAGAAGAUGCAAAGUAGAUAAAAACAGACUGUAGUCAGACUAUACUGUACCAAGAAAAGGAGUUCUGUACUGUUAGCUUAAUGGACUUUAACAAGGCAGUUCACCUAAAAAAAAAAAAAAAAAACAAAAUUAUUCAUUAUAAAGAAUCUGUAUGUAGCGCUUACCAUAAAAUUAUACUUCUUAGCUUUUCUCCUUAAAUCCUUAAAAAAAAAACCUAGUUCAAGUUAAGAAAGUGACUGAUUUACUAGUAUAAAAUAUUGAAUUUGUUGUAUUCUACAAUAUAACAGCCUUGUAUUAGGACGACGCUUUUAAUUUUUUCUUAAGAACAUCUACAUUAAAUAUUUAAGAACUUAAGAAAUUAAAUGUUUUUUUUAACAAAUUGCUCUUAGGAAUGUUCUUAUUAAGUUCUAAUAAUUUAUAAAAAAGACACUUAACUGUAAACAGAAUGUAAAUAUAUUGCACCAAUCAUACAGACUACUAUUAUGGUGUGUUUUUGUCAUUCUUGAAACUUUUUGAAUCAUUUAAACUUUUGUGCCCCACACAAAAAUUUGAGUAAAUUAUAGCUAAAUAUUUAUUUUGGUUAAACUCUCCUUUAAAACCAUAGAUUCACAGUUAUAAUUUCUUAUAUUUAUUUCUAUCCUAAUAAGUUCACAGUGUGUUUAGUCUGCCUCUCACAGCCAGCUGGUUUAAUCUGGUACCAGAGUAUAAAUGUUUUAUCAUUACUGGAGUUAAUCCCAGACUACAAACAUAAAGACAUCUUUUGUUUCUGCUUCUCACACCUUGUUGGUCCAACAGAUCACUUAACCAAACAGACAUCUCCCAGCACUCGGAGCUUUUCUCACAUGAACAUAAACUGUUUGCUGUUGAGUCUGGUUUUUAACAAAGAGCGAGAGAGAGCGAGGAGAGGAAGUGAGUGCCCUCCA
rnacentral:lncRNA from 1 species